rnacentral:rRNA from 1 species
UACGAAGGGGGCUAGCGUUGCUCGGAAUCACUGGGCGUAAAGCGCACGUAGGCGGCUUUUAAGUCAGGGGUGAAAUCCUGGAGCUCAACUCCAGAACUGCCUUUGAUACUGGGAAGCUUGAGUCCGGGAGAGGUGAGUGGAACUCCGAGUGUAGAGGUGAAAUUCGUAGAUAUUCGGAAGAAACACCAGUGGCGAAGGCGGCUCACUGGCCCGGUACUGACGCUGAGGUGCGAAAAGCCGUGGGGAGCAAACAGGG